rnacentral:lncRNA from 1 species
GUUGCUGGUGUUAUGGCUGGCUAUGUCGGUUGGGACUUGGGCUGAGGAAAGUGAAUCAUGGACUGGAUGGCUUUCAAAGUCGCCCGGAUUCAGGCAUGACAAUGAAGUAAACCAAGCUAAUACUGCUUCUGGUCCAUCGGCGCAGGGGAGUUCUCAAAAUAUGGAUUUUUUGCUAGCGGUUCAACAAAAAUUACAGGUAGCUUUUCAGGCCAUUCAACAAGGAAAAAAAGAUGAAGGUCAAGAGAUGCUGAAAGUUAUUGUCACAAUUCUUAUGCGGGAAAAAUCUU